UUGUGUUUGGGCGAUGACAAGCUUUUUGCUUUUUCUGGUGGCAGCACCUGAAACUAGUAUAGUAGAUAUUGUUGCCUAAUCAUACCUUUUCAUUUUCCCCCUAAUAAAGGUGGUGUCUGAGCGAUCUUGUGCGCAGUUCAACCAAUUCACCAAACACCCGCUAUCUCCCGUUCAAUACCCUUGGGGGCCUUGUGAACUUUCAUGCUCGGAAUAAGAUAGAAAAAUUUACAUCCAUGCUCAAGUAUAUCUGUAGCUUGGUGUUUAGGAUUUAGUUUAUGGUGUCUAAAGAUUAUCAGAACUUAUUUAGGAGUGCUUUAGCAAGCAGUGUUUAUUUCUGCUUGCUAUUGUUAAGUUGGGUAACUUUUGUACAGCUGAGUCAUCAAAAAGGAUGGUCAAGGCGGCACCUCAAAAUACAUUGUCUGAUGAUGUUGAGAGGAAUGAGAAGUCAUAAUGUGUACGAGGACUGAAUCUGAAUGGUGCUGCCCCUCACCCAAGCAAUUGAGAUAACAAUUUUGGCGCGGGAGGUCUUCUGUGCCCUUGCUCACCCGCUCAGAGCUGCAUAUCCAUAGAAAACAGUUAAAGUGUCCAUUGUGAACACGAUCUAGUGUCCUUAGGAAAAAUAGGUGGCAUCAUUUUUAUGGUAAUUUGGCAUACAGAUGAUAGGAAGAAAUGUCAUUACUGGCCCAAGUUUUGGUUGAGAAGUACGAGCAGGAAAGAAAACUUCAUAAUGAUGUAAUGUAUCUUUUUUAAGGGAGUUUUGAGUCCUUACAAUGUAAUUUAUUAUUUUUUAAAAGGAGUUUUGAGUUACUUCACAGGAUAGGUAACUUCAAUACGAUGUAAUCUGCUGCUUUAUCAAAAGGAGUUUAGUGGUCUUGGGUGUCA